AGAGUUUGAUCCUGGCUCAGGAUGAACGCUAGCGGCAGGCUUAACACAUGCAAGUCGAGGGCAGCGGGGGUAGCAAUACCCGCCGGCGACCGGCGCACGGGUGAGUAACGCGUAUGCAACUUACCUAUCAGAGGGGGAUAACCCGGCGAAAGUCGGACUAAUACCGCAUGAAGCAGGGGCCCCGCAUGGGGAUAUUUGCUAAAGAUUCAUCGCUGAUAGAUAGGCAUGCGUUCCAUUAGGCAGUUGGCGGGGUAACGGCCCACCAAACCGACGAUGGAUAGGGGUUCGUGAGAGGAAGGUCCCCCACAUUGGUACUGAGACACGGACCAAACUCCUACGGGAGGCAGCAGUGAGGAAUAUUGGUCAAUGGCCGAGAGGCUGAACCAGCCAAGUCGCGUGAAGGAUGAAGGAUCUAUGGUUUGUAAACUUCUUUUAUAGGGGAAUAAAGUGUGGGACGUGUUCCAUUUUGUAUGUACCCUAUGAAUAAGCAUCGGCUAACUCCGUGCCAGCAGCCGCGGUAAUACGGAGGAUGCGAGCGUUAUCCGGAUUUAUUGGGUUUAAAGGGUGCGUAGGUGGUAAUUUAAGUCAGCGGUGAAAGUUUGUGGCUCAACCAUAAAAUUGCCGUUGAAACUGGGUUACUUGAGUGUGUUUGAGGUAGGCGGAAUGCGUGGUGUAGCGGUGAAAUGCAUAGAUAUCACGCAGAACUCCAAUUGCGAAGGCAGCUUACUAAACCAUAACUGACACUGAAGCACGAAAGCGUGGGUAUCAAACAGGAUUAGAUACCCUGGUAGUCCACGCAGUAAACGAUGAUUACUAGGAGUUUGCGAUACAC
rnacentral:rRNA from 1 species